UGAAAGCAAAUAGUAGUAUGGAUCUUCAUUUUACACAAAAACAAGCAGAAUAUGUAACUUAUUUUAUUAUGUUACCUUCAAUAUCAUUAGUAACCACAUUUAUUUGCCAUAUGGUUAUGUCCUAUGGUAUAAUUAGAUCUGCAAAAAAAAUACAUUCAGAAGUUUUAUUAAAUAUUUUAUAUGCACCCAUGUAUGUUAUUUAUAGUAAUAAUAUAGGACAUAUAAUUAAUAAACUUAUUAUUGAUAUAAAUAUAGUAGAUUUAGGUAUAGCCAAAGUUAUAUAUAAAUGCUUUUAUGCAUUUUUCCAAUUUAUAUUUACUAUGUUUUUAUUAUGCUAUAUGGUUAAAUAUUCCUAUAUUGUAUUUUCUUUUAUACUUAUUUUUAUUUAUUUUUAUAUUUUUAAAAAGUAUUCUAAAGGUGCAAAGGAAGCACAAAGGCGUUUGUUAUCAUCCUACUCAGCUUUAUGUAAUAUUUAUAGUAAUAUAAUACAAGGAAAGGAUAUAAUUAAUAUUUAUAAUAAAAAUAAUUAUUUUUUAAAUUUAUAUGAACAUUAUGUAAAUGAGUUUAAAAAUUAUCAUUUAUUUAAAUGGUGUUUAACUAUAUGGGCAUCCUUAUAUACACAACAACUGAUAUUAUUAUUAACACUUUUUUAUAUAAUCUAUCCAACCAUUUUUGAACGUAUUCCAAUUACCGAUUUAGAUAAUGAAGAAAUAUUAACUGCUCGCCAGAUUCAUAAUCAUAAUAGUGCCAUUAUUAUUACUUAUAGUAUAACAUUUUCUUUUAACAUUGGUUUGAUUAUAAAAACAUUUUUAUAUCAUUUUACCUGUACAGAAAAAGAAAUGUGUAGUGUACAAAGGUUAGAAGAAUGUUCAAAAAUAUUAAAAGAUGUUAUACUAUUAGAAGAAAAUAAUAACAAUAUGAAUAUAAAUAAUAAUAAUAACACAAGACCUAUAGGCAACGAUUUAAACUAUUUAAAUGAUUCCUUUUCUAAUGAAAAUAAAAAAAAACAGUCAUCUAUUCAUGAUAAAGAAUAUAAAAAAGUCAAGUGUGAUAUAUGGAACUAUGUAAAGGUAAGUGAAUCAGUCAAUAAUAUUACUCAUAUAAAUAUACCAAAAAUAACUACAAAUAAUGGAGAAAAAACUGUUUUAUGUGAUAAUACACUAAAAACAUAUCCUUAUGGCCUUCAAUUUCAUAACGUAUAUAUAAGUUAUAAAAAAAAAGUAUACACGGAUAAAGUAAAAAAUCAAUAUUAUUAUUCAGACGACAAGUCCGUACUUAGAAAUAUAAACAUAUAUGCAUAUAAAGGUCAGAAUAUUGGUAUA
rnacentral:lncRNA from 1 species